UUAAACGAACGAGACCUCAGCCUGCUAACUAGUUACCUGUCUUUCUCUUUUGAGACUUGCUAACUUCUUAGAGGGACGUUGUGUGCAACCACAAGGAAGUUGAGGCAAUAACAGGUCUGUGAUGCCCUUAGAUGUCCUGGGCCGCACGCGUGCUACACUGAUACGUACAACGAGGUAUGUGCAUUUACACAUCGAUGCUGCUCCGAAAUAGACAAAGCUAAAAACUUCUAAAAUACGUAUCGUGCUGCGGAUAGAUCGUUGAAAUUAUGAAUCUUGAAGGUGGAAUUCCUAGUAAGCGCGAGUCAUCAACUCGCGUUGAUUACGUCCCUGCCCUUUGUACACACCGCCCGUCGCUCCUACCGAUUUCGAGUGGCUCGGUGAACCUCUUUGGACUGUCGAGCAAUCGCGAAAUUAGAGUGAACCUGGUCACUUAGAGGAAGGAG
rnacentral:rRNA from 1 species